CCUACGGGUGGCAGCAGUGGGGAAUAUUGCACAAUGGGGGAAACCCUGAUGCAGCGACGCCGCGUGAGUGAAGAAGUAUCUCGGUACGUAAAGCUCUAUCAGUAGGGAAGAAAAUGACGGUACCUGACUAAGAAGCCCCGGCUAAAUACGUGCCAGCAGCCGUGGUAAUAAGUAGGGGGCAAGCGUUAUCCGGAUUUACUGGGUGGAAAGGGAGCGUAGACGGCUGGACAAGUCCGGAGUGAAAUCCCGGGGCUUAACCCCGGAACUGCUUUGGAAACUGUGCGGCUGGAGUGCAGGAGGGGUAAGCGGAAUUCCUAGUGUAGCGGUGAAAUGCGUAGAUAUUAGGAGGAACACCGAUUGCGAAGGCGGCUUACUAGACUGUAACUGACAUUGAGGCUCGAAAGCGUGGGGAGCAAACAGGAUUAGAUACCCUUGUAGUC
rnacentral:rRNA from 1 species